rnacentral:rRNA from 1 species
UACAGAGGGUGCAAGCGUUAAUCGGAAUUACUGGGCGUAAAGCGUGCGUAGACGGUUAUGUAAGUCGGGUGUGAAAGCCCCGGGCUCAACCUGGGAAUUGCAUUCGAGACUGCAUAGCUAGGGUGCGGAAGAGGGAAGCGGAAUUUCCGGUGUAGCGGUGAAAUGCGUAGAGUAUCGGAAGGAACACCAGUGGCGAAAGCGGCUUCCUGGUCCAGCACCGACGUUCAGGCACGAAAGCGUGGGGAGCAAACAGG